rnacentral:rRNA from 1 species
AAUAGAUACCCCGGUAGUCCACGCCGUAAACGAUGAGUGCUAAGUGUUAGAGGGUUUCCGCCCUUUAGUGCUGCAGCAAACGCAUUAAGCACUCCGCCUGGGGAGUACGGCCGCAAGGCUGAAACUCAAAGGAAUUGACGGGGGCCCGCACAAGCGGUGGAGCAUGUGGUUUAAUUCGAAGCAACGCGAAGAACCUUACCAGGUCUUGACAUCCUCUGCCACUCCUAGAGAUAGGACGUUCCCCUUCGGGGGACAGAGUGACAGGUGGUGCAUGGUUGUCGUCAGCUCGUGUCGUGAGAUGUUGGGUUAAGUCCCGCAACGAGCGCAACCCUUGAUCUUAGUUGCCAGCAUUCAGUUGGGCACUCUAAGGUGACUGCCGGUGACAAACCGGAGGAAGGUGGGGAUGACGUCAAAUCAUCAUGCCCCUUAUGACCUGGGCUACACACGUGCUACAAUGGAUGGUACAAAGGGUCGCAAAACCGCGAGGUCGAGCCAAUCCCACAAAAACCCAUUCUCAGUUCGGAUUGCAGG